rnacentral:lncRNA from 10 species
UUUACAUGAAGGGUUUUUCAAAAUCUAGCCACAAACAGAUAUGACCAGAUUUCAAAAAAUUUUGAGAAACUAGGAGGAAUCUAUUUUGACAAAGCCAAGCCACACAUAGGAUAGAGGCAGACAUGCGUGCCCUGGAAAGAAGAAAGUAGAAGGAUCAACUAAAAGAGCUCUCCCACUAAAUGGCUGUGGGCUCCUCUAAGAAACUGAAACAUGGAAGAAGGAAGGACCAGCCAGCCAGAACAGCAGUGGGUAUCAAGGAAUGAUAUAAAAGCAAGCUCAAGACAGUCAAGAUUCAAGGAGCUAUAUACCUUGCUUCCUUUCCAGAGCUGAAAUUUGAGUCAAGAGUCCAUUUCUUCCAUCUGGCCAGAUGAUCUCCAGGAUACUCUCAUGUAUGUCAAUAAUAACUUUUCUUUUAUAAUGGUACCACUGGGAACUUGGGGAUUACAGACCAUUUAAACU